rnacentral:rRNA from 1 species
GUGAGGAAUAUUGGUCAAUGGACGGAAGUCUGAACCAGCCAAGUAGCGUGCAGGAUGACGGCCCUAUGGGUUGUAAACUGCUUUUAUGCGGGGGUAAAGUGAGUGACGUGUCAUUCAUUGCAAGUACCGCAAGAAUAAGGACCGGCUAAUUCCGUGCCAGCAGCCGCGGUAAUACGGAAGGUCCUGGUGUUAUCCGGAUUUAUUGGGUUUAAAGGGAGCGUAGGCCGUCAGGCAAGCGUGUUGUGAAAUGUCGUGGCUCAACCAUGGACUUGCAGCGCAAACUGCCGCACUUAAGUGCGCGGAAAGCAGGCGGAAUUUUUGGUGUAGCGGUGAAAUGCUUAGAUAUCACGAAGAACCCCGAUUGCGAAGGCAGCCUGCUGUAGCGCUACUGACGCUGAGGUGCGAAAGCCGGGGGAGCGAACGGGAUUAGAUACCCUAGUAGUCC